UGGGUCCGGCGCCUGAGCAGCGUGAAUGUCUAUAGCACAUGGGAUGCCCCGCAAGAAGAAAACACUAGGGAUAGAAAAUUUCAAGGCAAUUAUCUGUCCACAGGGUGUCAGAGGAUCUGUAAAGACGACAUCAAAUUUACUUUCUUCAAUAUAUUUCAUCAUCUCUUUGUUGUACAGUAAGGAACUGCAGGAAGCUUGAAACAUGUCAGAGCUCUGUUUGAAGUUAUUCCAAGUAUUCAUAAACCUGGUGAGGAAAGAGUUGUCACUAAAAACGUUUGCACUAAGAGAGUGCAGAAGUUCUUGCAUCUCUUCCGUUUUGAAAGCUCAGCCAGCACUUCCUUCAUACUGAGCCAGUGGCUGCCCUCCAUAGGGAUUACCAGCACCUUCCCAGCAGCGGCAGGACUCAGGCAGCACAAGAAGACGAGCAGCACUGCCACCAGCAUGUUGCAGGAUAUGCUGUAUUUGAUUCGGAGACCUGCUUCGUACUCAAAAACCCAAUGGGAAUUUACAGAAGACAUCCAUACCCAGGAAUGCUUACAACUUAACCAAUAAAAGUAUGGAAGGAUACAAUUUGGGGAUUAGAUACUGACCCCUUGACGUAGGUGUAAAUGAAUCAAUCUGGGUGACAGAAAAAGAACUAGCUACAAGAUGAAAAGCUAAAAUCUUAAAUCCUAUAAUCCUCGACGUGGGUGAAAGGAGAAUGACUAUAUGGAAGUAUGAAUGGACAGCUCAUGAGAGAGCUGGGAAAGGAGGACACCAUGUGGCAGACAGCGAGCAGACUGUGCUUACAGGUGUUCCUCAGGCUACUCUUUCAGAGCAAUAUAGCUGCGUCUUCUGAGACUGGCUUUGGAUGCAAGUACAGCUCUUUCAGGCAUGGAUAUGGGAUAAGAAACUGAGAUGAAAUGGAAGCUAACAAAUCUGGCUUCUGUUGGGGAGGAAAAUUCCCAUCUCACCACAAUUGGUGUGAGCUUCAGUUCAACAAGAGAGCUUAUUAUUUGCAUUAAAGUUACAUGUCACUUAAAUUCUCACAUCUGCUAAGGCUUAGGUUUGCCAGGAUAUGAUAUCAUUUGAAUGCUGGAUACUAGGAAAUAACCUUUCUGCAUUAUGUAGGAUUUCUCAUUAGCUUUCUACCUUUAAAUACCAAGAGGUUGCCGGUUAGGUUUUGAUGUAAGGAUGCUUAAACACUUCUGUUCUUGCCUUUUAAAUAGAAACAAGAUAAAGUUUAAUAC